rnacentral:rRNA from 1 species
GACGAACGCUGGCGGCGUGCCUAAUACAUGCAAGUUGAGCGCUGAAGGUUGGUACUUGUACCAACUGGAUGAGCAGCGAACGGGUGAGUAACGCGUGGGGAAUCUGCCUUUGAGCGGGGGACAACAUUUGGAAACGAAUGCUAAUACCGCAUAAAAACUUUAAACACAAGUUUUAAGUUUGAAAGAUGCAAUUGCAUCACUCAAAGAUGAUCCCGCGUUGUAUUAGCUAGUUGGUGAGGUAAAGGCUCACCAAGGCGGUGAUACAUAGCCGACCUGAGAGGGUGAUCGGCCACAUUGGGACUGGGACAAGGCCCAAACUCCUACGGGAGGCAGCAGUAGGGAAACUUCGGACAUGGACGAAAGUCUGACCGAGCAACGCCGCGGGAGUGAAGAAGGUUUUCGGAUCGUAAAACUCUGUUGGUAGAGAAGAAAGUUGGUGAGAGUGGAAAGCUCAUCAAGUGACGGUAACUACCCAGAAAGGGACGGCUAACUACGUG